CAUCCAAGAAGAGUGUAGGCAGCUGAUGCCAGGUCCUCCUCCUCCUCCUCUUCUUCCUCCUCUUUCUUCUUUUCUUCCCCUCUUCCUCCUCCUGUUUAUUGCAGAGCACCAGAGAGCAAAGGAGCUAGAAAAGGGUGAAAUCAGUUCUUUUUCUGUGACUUUUUUGCUUUGCUUUUAUUAAGUUCUUAAGGCUUUUGGUCUUGAGUCCUAGAUAAGAUGCAAAUAAUUCUGAAAGGAUCAUAACUUUUAAUAUUAUCAGUGGAUAUUUCAGGGAAAAAAGCUAUAGGAUAGAUUGACUGAUAGUAGAGAAUAAAAAGAAGAUUCAGAAGCGGCCAUGGGGAGGCAAAGAGAGAGAAAAGAGUGGAGAGUGUGUGUGAGUGUGUGUGUGAAUGUGUGUGUGAGUGUGUGUAUGUGUGUGUGAGAGGGUGAGAAAGCAGGGGAGGGAGAGAGAAAGAGUGGAAAUUCUAGAAAGGAAUUACCUUUUCUUUCAUUCAACUACUUCACUGUUUUGUCAAAAUCUAGCACUGCUUCUAAGGCCUCCUGCGACUCACCCACCUACCCCUCUUACUCCAUCCUAUUCAACUUCUACACUAAGAGGAAAGCCCAAGCUAGACGCCUAUGCGUCAAUCAGAGACGCCAUGCUGAGAAGAGUAAACAGGGAAACUAUAUUUUUCCUCUCAACUAAAACAACUAUUUUAAUCAGUAUUUAGCAAGAAAAUAUCUACCUGUUUCAUCUUCACUGGUUAUUUCCAUAAACUUGAAAGAAUGACUGUCUAAAUGGUAGUUAUAUCUCAUGAGAUGUUUAAGCAAAGAGGAAAAAUAUACAAAAGAAGAAUAUCAUAUUUUGCCUGGACCACCAGGAUGACAAUAAAAAUUUAUUAUG